rnacentral:pre_miRNA from 1 species
AGUGAAAUUGCUGGGUCACAUGGUAUUUGCAUGUUUAAUUUUAUAAAAACUGCCAAACUAUUUUCCAGAGUGGCUGUAACAUUUCCAAUCCCACCAGCAAU